rnacentral:rRNA from 1 species
AGUGAACGCUGGCGGUAGGCCUAACACAUGCAAGUCGAACGGCAGCACAGUAAGAGCUUGCUCUUACGGGUGGCGAGUGGCGGACGGGUGAGGAAUACAUCGGAAUCUACUUUUUCGUGGGGGAUAACGUAGGGAAACUUACGCUAAUACCGCAUACGACCUACGGGUGAAAGCAGGGGAUCUUCGGACCUUGCGCGAUUGAAUGAGCCGAUGUCGGAUUAGCUGGUUGGCGGGGUAAAGGCCCACCAGGGCGACGAUCCGUGGCGGGUCCGAGAGGAUGAUCGGCCACACGGGACCUGAGAAACGGUCCAGACCCCUACGGGAGGCAGCAGUGGGAAAUAUUGGACAAUGGGCGCAAGCCUGCUCCAGCCAUACCGCGUGGGUGAAGAAGGCCUUCGGGUUGUAAAGCCCUUUUGUUGGGAAAGAAAAGCGGCAGAUUAAUACCCCGCUGUUCUGACGGUACCAAAAGAAUAAGCACCGGCAAACUUCGU